CAAUAGCGUAUAUUAAAGUUGUUGCGGUUAAAAAGCUCGUAGUUGGAUUUCUGUUGGGAACGACCGGUCCGCCCAUUGGGUGUGUAUCUGGCUUGUUCUCGGCAUCUUCUUGGUGAACGUUGCUGCACUUGACUGUGUGGAGCGCUACCCAGGACUUUUACUUUGAGGAAAUUAGAGUGUUUCAAGCAGGCAUAUGCCUUGAAUACAUUAGCAUGGAAUAAUAAGAUAGGACCUCGGUUCUAUUUUGUUGGUUUCUAGAGCUGAGGUAAUGAUUAAUAGGGAUAGUUGGGGGCAUUCGUAUUUAACUGUCAGAGGUGAAAUUCUUGGAUUUGUUAAAGUCGGACUACUGCGAAAGCAUUUGCCAAGGAUGUUUUCAUUGA
rnacentral:rRNA from 1 species